UGGGGAAUAUUGGGCAAUGGGCGCAAGCCUGACCCAGCAACGCCGCGUGAAGGAAGAAGGCUUUCGGGUUGUAAACUUCUUUUCUUAGGGACGAAGCAAGUGACGGUACCUAAGGAAUAAGCCACGGCUAACUACGUGCCAGCAGCCGCGGUAAUACGUAGGUGGCAAGCGUUAUCCGGAUUUACUGGGUGUAAAGGGCGUGUAGGCGGGAUUGCAAGUCAGAUGUGAAAACCACGGGCUCAACCUGUGGCCUGCAUUUGAAACUGUAGUUCUUGAGUACUGGAGAGGCAGACGGAAUUCCUAGUGUAGCGGUGAAAUGCGUAGAUAUUAGGAGGAACACCAGUGGCGAAGGCGGUCUGCUGGACAGCAACUGACGCUGAGGCGCGAAAGCGUGGGGAGC
rnacentral:rRNA from 1 species